rnacentral:rRNA from 1 species
GACGAACGCUGGCGGCGUGCCUAAUACAUGCAAGUCGAGCGGGCAGAAGGGAGCUUGCUCCCGGAAGUUAGCGGCGGACGGGUGAGUAACACGUGGGCAACCUACCCUGUAGAUCGGGAUAACAUCGAGAAAUCGGUGCUAAUACCGGAUAAUCAUUUGAAGUGCAUGCCUCGAAUGUAAAAGAUGGCUCCGGCUAUCACUACGGGAUGGGCCCGCGGCGCAUUAGCUAGUUGGUAAGGUAAUGGCUUACCAAGGCAACGAUGCGUAGCCGACCUGAGAGGGUGAUCGGCCACACUGGGACUGAGACACGGCCCAGACUCCUACGGGAGGCAGCAGUAGGGAAUCUUCCGCAAUGGACGAAAGUCUGACGGAGCAACGCCGCGUGAGUGAUGAAGGUUUUCGGAUCGUAAAGCUCUGUUGUUAGGGAAGAACAAGUGCCGUUUGAAUAAGGCGGCACCUUGACGGUACCUAACCAGAAAGUCACGGCUAACUACGUGCCAGCCGCCGCAGUAAGAC